UGGGGAAUUUUGGACAAUGGGGGCAACCCUGAUCCAGCCAUGCCGCGUGCGGGAAGAAGGCCUUCGGGUUGUAAACCUCUUUUGUCCGGGAAGAAAAGAUCUCUCCUAACACGGGAGGUUCUUGACGGUACUGGAAGAAUAAGCACCGGCUAACUACGUGCCAGCAGCCGCGGUAAUACGUAGGGUGCGAGCGUUAAUCGGAAUUACUGGGCGUAAAGCGUGCGCAGGCGGUUCGCUAAGUCUGAUGUGAAAUCCCCGGGCUCAACCUGGGAAUGGCAUUGGAAACUGGCGAGCUUGAGUGUGGCAGAGGGGGGUGGAAUUCCACGUGUAGCAGUGAAAUGCGUAGAGAUGUGGAGGAACACCGAUGGCGAAGGCAGCCCCCUGGGCUAACACUGACGCUCAGGCACGAAAGCGUGGGGAGCAAACAGG
rnacentral:rRNA from 1 species